GGCUGCGUAGUGUAGUGGUUUAUCACUCGAGAUUUUGAUUGCUGACUGCUUAGUCAUGCUUAUCUAAUUCUCGUAACCCCGGUUCGAGCCCGGGCGCGGCCU